rnacentral:rRNA from 1 species
GACGAACGCUGGCGGCGUUCUUAACACAUGCAAGUCGUACGGUAAGGCCCUUUCGGGGGUCCACGAGUGGCGAACGGGUGAGUAACACGUGAGUAACCUGCCCACAACUUUGGGAUAACGCUAGGAAACUGGUGCUAAUACUGGAUAUGUGCUCCUGCUGCAUGGUGGGGGUUGGAAAGCUCCGGCGGUUGUGGAUGGACUCGCGGCCUAUCAGCUUGUUGGUGGGGUAGUGGCCUACCAAGGCGGCGACGGGUAGCCGGCCUGAGAGGGUGACCGGCCACAUUGGGACUGAGAUACGGCCCAGACUCCUACGGGAGGCAGCAGUGGGGAAUAUUGCACAAUGGGCGCAAGCCUGAUGCAGCAACGCCGCGUGCGGGAUGACGGCCUUCGGGUUGUAAACCGCUUUCAGCAGGGACGAAGCUUUUUGUGACGGUACCUGCAGAAGAAGCACCGGCUAACUACGUG